CCUACACUGUUAGAUGUCGCUGUAGAUUUAGCAGUACAUUACUGUAAAAAUCCACAGUACUAUACUGUAUGUGUACAUUACAGUACAGUACUGCAGUUCAUAAUGCAUUCUGGGUAAAUUUGUUUGAGCGGGAACAUUUUACAGUAUCUUUUGGUCUUGAUGUAACCUUGCUGUAGCCAUUGCUGUAAUGUGCCAGGUGUACUUGCAAUCAGAGAAAGUGCGCCAACGUCAAAUCACACAGAGGGAGAGAGAGCACAACUCCUGGCUGCAGCUGAAGGAGGACGAUUGAUUUCUGGCAGUUCGUCUUACCAUUGCUUGUAAGCUGGAUUGGGUAAGAUGGAUCAUCUUUAAAGGAACCAGGAGUUAAGGCAGAUGUGGAGGCACAACGGGUGAUACCAGACACACACCAAGCACAUUAUGUUCGGACAUUCAAUCAUGACAGGAUCCAGGUGGAUGCUGUCCAUUGAGGAAAGAGUUUGUUCCGAGGUUUCUGGAUAGAAUUAAUUCCAAAGAUGGGAAAAAGUGCACAUCCAGACAAGGAGCAAGCAAAAAGACAAGGAACUUGGUGCAGAGAAAAGCUGUGGCCAUUAACCCCCAUGUGAACAGCUUCAUGCAGUCCCUGAUUGAGUUCGAAUGGACGACUUCAAAGUAAAGGCCACUGUGGUCUGUCUGCCACAGUUUAAUUUUUAAUUUAUUUUUAGUGUUCAAUGAAAUUCAAGUAGAAUAUUUAAAACUAUGGGCCAGUGUUGUUUUUACCACAGUGAAAUGUUACCUUUUAGUCGAUGAUGGACUUUAAACUGAAAACUUCAAACUAUGGAACAGUGUUCUAUUUGCCAGAGUUAAAUAUGUUACAGCAGGGGU